UUUUGUGGGGUGCUCGAGUGGCGAACGGGUGAGUAACACGUGAGUAACCUGCCCUUGACUUUGGGAUAACUUCAGGAAACUGGGGUUAAUACCGGAUAGGAGCUCCUGCUGCAUGGUGGGGGUUGGAAAGUUUCGGCGGUUGGGGAUGGACUCGCGGCUUAUCAGCUUGUUGGUGGGGUAGUGGCUUACCAAGGCUUUGACGGGUAGCCGGCCUGAGAGGGUGACCGGCCACAUUGGGACUGAGAUACGGCCCAG
rnacentral:rRNA from 1 species